rnacentral:tRNA from 1 species
GGCUUUAUAGUCAAUAAUGAUAUUAGACUGCAAUUCUAAAGGAAUAACUAAUUUAUUAAAGCUU